rnacentral:rRNA from 1 species
UACGAAGGGGGCUAGCGUUGUUCGGAAUUACUGAGCGUAAAGGGCGCGCAGGCGGUCUUCCAAGUCAGAUGUGAAAUCCCCGGGCUCAACCUGGGAACUGCAUUUGAAACUGCAAGGCUAGAGUAGUGUCAGAGGGGGGUAGAAUUCCACGUGUAGCAGUGAAAUGCGUAGAGAUGUGGAGGAAUACCGAUGGCGAAGGCAGCCCCCUGGGAUAAUACUGACGCUCAUGCACGAAAGCGUGGG